rfam:Plasmodium ovale wallikeri genome assembly, contig: contig3484
AUGUCGUAUGCUAGGAAGGCAAAUCCGCCGAAAUCUAUAUGUAAUUAAGCGGAAGAAAAGAAAAUAAAACUAUGAUUCUUUGAGUAACGUUUAGUGAAAAAGGAAGAGCUCAAUAGGAAAAUCGCAUUAAGCGAAUUGUCUUGUUUGGAAACAUACUGAAAAAGACUAACAAUGCAUACUGAAAAGUAAGCUGGAAAGCUUUCCCUUAGAGGGUGAAAGGCCCGUAAGUAUGCAUUGUUGUAUUUUUUGAUAUGCCUAUUUUUAAGAGUUAUGCUAAAAAAAAUAAAAGCAUGAAUACGUAUGAUGCAACUAUCAUAUAAAGCUAAAUAUGUGUAGGAGACCGAUAGAGAACAAGUACCGUGAGGGAAAGAUGAAAUAGAACUCAGGAAUGAGCAAUUAAAAAGUACCUGAAAUCGUUAAGAUGAAAUGGAUUGUAAUGGAAAAAUGAAUGAGGAAAAAGAAAUAUUUUCUUUUGGGGAAAUGUUUCUUUCUUCUUAUUUCAAAAGAAAGGAGAGUGAGAUAGAUAAUCAGACAGAACAAUUUUUGGGGAAUUAGGUAAUUUUUACCUUUCUAUUAAUAACGAAAAUACGUGUUUUUAUUGAACUCAUGUAAGAAUGGGAAAAUUAUCUAACUUACUUAUUUAACAAUAGUGAAAAAUUUAUUUUUUACCUAUUAGGUCUUUUCUAAUAGUACUGUUAUAACCCAGUCGUUUUGAAACACGAACCAAGGAGUCUAACAAAUGUGCAAGUAUGUGGAUUAUUUUUUAAACUCAAAAAAAAGUAACGCAUUUACUUUUAGCAGAAGAGAUCGCACGAGGGAAAUGAUAUGGGCGCUCUGCAUGCUAUACUUGUCAACAAUAUAAUGUAUAGAUUGAGUAUGAGCAGGUUUGUUAGGACCCGAGAGGCUUUGAACUAAGCGUGACAAUAUUGAAGUCAGACGAAAGUCUGAUGGAAGAUUGAAUUGAUACUGACGUGCAAAUCGUUCUUUUCUGUUACGUUUAGGGGUAAAAGACUAAUUGAAAAGCCUAUUAGCUGGUUAUUUUCGAAAGAUCUCUCAAGAUCGCUGGAGUUGUUUGUGAUAUAUUUUUUCUAAUGGAGAUAUAUAUGAGAAAAAUCGGGGUAUAAUUUAUUCUUGAAAUGUGCUCAAUAUCGCCAAUUAGUAAAUAGGUAUAAAUUACGUUUCGUAUUUUAGCCUAUAUAUACUUAAGAGAACAAAAUAGGAUAACUCCAAGUGGGCCAUUUUUGGUAAUCAAAAAUUGGCGAUGAGGGAUGCACCUAACGCUUGGAUAAGGUGCCUAAAUAUUUGCUAAUUAGAUCCCAUAAUAGGUGUUGGUUUAUAAUGACAGUAGGACGGUUAUCUGUGAAGUAGAAAUCCGCUAAGGAAUGUGUAGCAACUCACCUACCGAAUUGACUAGCCCUGAAAAUGGAUGGCGCUAAAGCGAAUUACCGAUACCAAGCCAUAGAUACAUAUAUUCAGACGUGGUUUCAUAUAAUAUAUUUAUAUUGAUCCAAAGUCCUGCAUCUAUGAGUAGAAAAUCGUGGGGUUUGUGUUGAAGCGAGAUACGUGAGUUCUUGUGGAACAUAUCCCUAGUGCAGAUCUUGGUGGAAGUAGCAAUUAUUCAAAUGAGAACUUUGAAGACUUAAGUGGAGAAGGGUUUCUUGCCAACUGUGAUUGUACAAGAGUUAGCCGCUCCUAAGAGAAAACUGAAUAGUGCUUAUUUAGGAAGUUUAACAACGCGUUAAGUACGUGUGUGUUUAUGCAUUCUUAUCUCGAAAGGGAAACAGGUUAAUAUUCCUGUGCCAAUGUAUUUUGAGUAAUAUUAAAAGAUGGUAACAUAUAUAUAAAUGAACUCUUUCACGUAGGCCUUACGCUCGGGGUGCGUUUUCUUUGCACUUUACCUCUAUAGCUACUCUUGGAAUCAAUUUACUUGGAGAAAAGGUUUGCCGAAACAAUUCAGAAGAGCGCUAAUGAGUGAAGCUUCCCGCUUUGCUUAUUGGCUUCCCUGUUUUGUAGUAAAAGUAAUUCGUUUUUAUGAAUUAUCCGAAGUAGUAAGGACUACCCUUGAAAAAAAGAGGGAACAGCAAAUAGUAGGAAAAAUGGUCUCGGUUGUCCUUGAUUUUAACCCUGCAUUUGUAUACUCUGAAUAUAUAUAAGAGCGUACCGAUCACCGCAUAAGGUCUCCAAGGUUAAUAGCCUCUGGUUAAAUAGUAUAAGGUAGGUAAGGGAAGUCGGUGAAAAUAGAUCCGUAACUUCGGGAAAAGGAUUGGCUCUGAAAACAUUGGAAUAGAGAAGAAGGAAAAUGUUUGAAAAUAAUGUAUUGGCAUAUAUGUAAAUACAUGCAGAAUUCGUUUUGUUUGUGUUUGUAUAUUUCCUUAUUUUGUUUUCUUUAUGUUUACCUUUCUCCCCCUCUAUUUUCGCCUUCAUUUGUACUUUUGCGUUUCGGCGUUUUCAGUACUCUUGAUACUCAUAAUGUUAACUCAGAACUGAAACGGACAAAGGGAAUCCGACUAUUUAAUUAUAGCAUAGCUUUGUGAUAAGCCAUAACUGGUAUUAACACAAUGUGAUUUCUGCCCAGUGCUUUGAAUGUCAAUUUGAUGAAAUUCCAUCAAGCGCAGGUUAACGGCGGGAGUAUAUCUAUAUGAUUCUCUUAAGAGAGCCAAAUGCUUCGUCAAUUAAUUUGUGACAAUGCAUGAAAGGAUUAAGGAGAGAUUCCCACUGUCCCUACUUGCCAUCUAGCGAAACCACAACCAAGGAAACGGACUUGGCAUAAUCAGCGGGGAAAGAAGACCCUGUUGAGCUUUACUCUAGUCUGGCUUUGUGAAACGACUUAAGAGGUGUAGCAUAAGUGGGAGUAGAAAAUGAAAUAUGUUUUUACAACAGUGAAAUACCACUACUUUUUAGUUGCUUUACUAAUCUGUUUAUGAGGAGAUAUAAAAGUAUGUUUUCUUUGCGGAAAAUUUUGCAUACUUUUCUGUAUUUAUAGGCGUCCUGCUUAGUAUUACGCUAGUAGUCGCUUUGCUCCUUAUUUAUAGAGAAACAGCCAGGUGGGGAGUUAGAUUCGGGCGGUAUAUCUGUUAAAACAAUAAAGCAGAUGUACAAAGACAAGCUCAAAGAGAACAGAAAUCUCUUGUAGACUAAAAAGGGAAAAAGCUUGUUAAUAUUUCUGUUUUCAGAGAAAGUAGAAAACGUUAAAGCGUGGCCUAUCGAUAUCCUUUAUGUUUGCGAAAUUACACGGAAUUGAUAUUCUUAUUGUGCAUGUAGAGGUACUUAAAAAAGUUACUACAGGGAUAACUGGCUUGUGGCUGCCAAGCGCUCCUAGCAACGUAGCUUUUUGAUAUUUUGAUGUCAGUUCUUCCUAUCAUUGAGACGCAGAAGUCUCAAAGUGUCGGAUUGUUCACCCGCUAAUAGGGAACGUGAGCUGAGUUUAGACCGUCGUGAGACAGGUUAGUUUUUACCCCACUGAUGAAUUUUAUGAUAUUAUUAUUCUAUUGUUACAGUAAUCCAACUUGGUACGAGAGGAUUAGUUGGUUCAGACAAUUGGUACAGCAAUUGGUUGACAAACCAGUGUUGCGAAGCUAAGUCUGUUGGUUAAUGGCUGAACGCCUCUUAAGCCAGAAACCAUGCUGAUUAAACAAUACAAUUUGUUUUUUUUUGAUUUUUUUUACUGCAAAUGUAAAAGAGACAUUAUAUGUGUAUUUCUUUUGAAAUCCAUAAAUAAUCCUAUUUAUAUAAUUCGUGAGCUGAUUUAUUGUUCGUGAGCUGUGUAUUUAUGGUGCAAACUGUGAAUUCAUGGUUUUUGAGCUGUCGUUAUUUUAGCUUUGAGUUCGCAAUUUAGUUUUACUACUAAAAAAAAAUUUAACACAAACUGUAGACUACUUUUAUGCCUCCCAGUGCUGUAAACAUGAAAGUAAACUUUGUUUUACGAUCUGUUGAGGCUUUUCUGAUUGAGGUAAUUGUGAAU